CUGUACAACUAUAACCCUUUGAUGUAUACUGGAGUAGAUACUCCUAACUGUUGUGGCUUCAUACCUGGACUUCUACCAACCGGACCAACCCUAAUCGAAUGUCAACAUGGGGUUAUGGGGCGAUUUGUUAAAAUUUUUAUUGAGAAAUCAGAGUUUAUGACUUUAUGUGAAGUUGAGAUAACCGGUCAUAAAGUGGACAACUUAUCUGGUCAGCAGAACACGUAUAAUGUGAACGGAUGUAAGAGACUUCCAAAUGGACCGAAUAUUGCCUUGCGUAAACCUACUCUACAAAGUUCAACUUUAGAAAAUCCAAAUGGGUUGUGGUCAUCAUCACUGGCUGUCGAUGGUAAUAGAAAUGGCGAUUCACACGAGUUAAGCUGCAGCCAUACUGGCGGUAACGAUGAUAACCCAUGGUUACAAGUUGAUCUUGAACAUAUAUAUAACAUUACUAGUGUUACCAUAGUGAAUCGUAGAGAUC